rnacentral:pre_miRNA from 1 species
UUCUUACUCCCUCCGUCCGGAAAUACUUGUCAUCAAAAUGAAUAAAAGGGGAUGUAUCUAGAUGUAUUUUAGUUCUAGAUACAUCUCUUUUUAUCCAUUUUGAUGACAAGUAUUUUCGGACGGAGGGAGUACUUG